AACGCGAAGAACCUUACCUGGGUUUGACAUGCACAGGACGGUCGUAGAGAUACGGCUUCCCUUGUGGCCUGUGUGCAGGUGGUGCAUGGCUGUCGUCAGCUCGUGUCGUGAGAUGUUGGGUUAAGUCCCGCAACGAGCGCAACCCUUGUCUCAUGUUGCCAGCGCGUUAUGGCGGGGACUCGUGAGAGACUGCCGGGGUCAACUCGGAGGAAGGUGGGGAUGACGUCAAGUCAUCAUGCCCCUUAUGUCCAGGGCUUCACACAUGCUACAAUGGCCGGUACAAAGGGCUGCGAUGCCGUGAGGUUAAGCGAAUCCUUUAAAGCCGGUCUCAGUUCGGAUCGGGGUCUGCAACUCGACCCCGUGAAGUCGGAGUCGCUAGUAAUCGCAGAUCAGCAACGCUGCGGUGAAUACGUUCCCGGGCCUUGUACACACCGUAGUAC
rnacentral:rRNA from 1 species